rnacentral:rRNA from 1 species
UUGACAUGCAGAGAACUUUCCAGAGAUGGAUUGGUGGCCUUCGGGAACGUCUGACACAGGUGCUGCAUGGCUGUCGUCAGCUCGUGUCGUGAGAUGUUGGGUUAAGUCCGUAACGAGCGCAACCCUUGUCCUUAGUUACCAGCACGUUAUGGUGGGCACUCUAAGGAGACUGCCGGUGACAAACCGAAGGAAGGUGGGGGAUGACGUCAAGUCAUCAUGGCCCUUACGGCCUGGGCUACACACGUGCUACAAUGGCCGGUACAAAGGGUUGCCAAGCCGCGAGGUGGAGCUAAUCCCAUAAAACCGAUCGUAGUCCGGAUCGCAGUCUGCAACUCGACUGCGUGAAGUCGGAAUCGCUAGUAAUCGUGAAUCAGAAUGUCACGGUGAAUACGUUCCCGGGCCUU